CCCUUAGAUGUUCUGGGCGGCCCGCGCACUACAUUGGCACUCUCAAUAAGUUCCUAGAUCUAAAACUUUGGGGUAUUCUAUUAAGUGGUGUCGUGACUGGGAUUAACCCUUGCAAUUAUUGGUUACGAACGAGGAAUUCCUUGUAAUCGCGGUUUAUCAGCCCGCGUUGAAUGCGUCCCUGCCCUUUGUACACACCGCCCGUCGCUCCUACCGAUUGGGUGUGCUGGUGAAAUGUUCGGAUCGGCCGUUUGUCGCGGUUUCCGCGGCUCGUGGCUGAGAAGUUCAUUAAACCCUCCCACCUAGAGGAAGGAGAAGUCGUAACA
rnacentral:rRNA from 1 species